GUAGGUAUAGUUUAAUUUAAGACACUAGAUUGUGAUUCUAGGAAUAGGGGUUAAAAUCCCCUUACCCACC
rnacentral:tRNA from 1 species